AAAACCUACGGCUCCACCCAUAUAGUGGAUCCAACUGUAAGUUUUGAUUCGAUCGUAUCAAUUAUAUUAGAGAACCGGUUUAGACUGGUUCGAUACAUUAUUUAUGUUAGAUUGUAUUUUGGUUUACUCUGAUUCAAGGGUAUAUAUACCAUGUAAUGUACACUUGAUUGUGAUGAGGAAUCAGAAACAGUUUGACGAUAUCUUUUGGAUUCUGUUUCACUGAUAUGGUAUCAGAGCAAUGCUUCCAGCUCUCUCUGUGAUUCCUCUUUCUUCUUCGAUCGAUUCUUCGUUUUCUCUUCGCAUUCUAGCUUCGAUCAUCCUCAUCAUCGUCUUCUUGAGCUUCGUUUACCAUUAGACGAGCUCGAUCUGCGAAAAUAUGGGGAAACGAGCUGGAAAAGCGAGAACUCGAAGCUCAACACCUGAAGAAGAUCAAUCCGCUACUC
rnacentral:lncRNA from 1 species